rnacentral:rRNA from 1 species
GACGAACGCUGGCGGCGUGCCUAAUACAUGCAAGUAGAACGCCGUUGCGAACGGGUGAGUAACGCGUAGGUAACUGCCUCAACGCAGGGGAUAACUAUUGGGAACGAUAGGUAAUACCGCCUACUGUGAGAUGGACCUGCGUUGUAUUAGCUAGUUGGUGAGGUAAAGGGUCACCAAGGCGACGAUACAUACCCGACCUGAGAGGGUGAACCGGCAAAAUGGGAAUGAGGCAAGGGCCCGACUUCGACGGGAGGGAGCAGGUGGGGAUCUUCGGGAAUGGAAGGAAGUCUGGCCGGGCAACUGCGGGGGAGUGAAGAAGGUUUUCGGAUCGUAAAGCUCUGUUGGUAGGGGAGCGGUAACUAACCAGAAAGGGACGGCUAACUACGUGCCAGCCGCCGCGGUAAUAC